UGGGAAGGACUGUAGCUCAGUGUUAAAGCAUCUGCCUUGCAGAAGGUCACAGGUUCGAUCCCUGGUUGCUCAA